ACGACUGGUAAGAGGAAAUGCUUGCUGUUACAUAUUCCUAUGGAAAUAAGAGAAUAGGCAAAUUUGUAAUUUGAUGAAAGGUGGUACCCAAAUUGCAAAAGGAAAGAGACAUACAAGUUGCAAAUAAACGACGUCAUAGCAAUUUACUCCAAUUACUGUUCGUUCUUUGGAUUUGAAGUUUUGGUUCCAAAGACCCAGUUUUGAAAUAAAGCAAUUCUAUUGAAAUCCCAACCCUAGCCUAGACAAAUACUCGCUAUUCAUUGAAAGAAGGUAACACUCGCUAUCAAUUGCUAUUUAAGCAGAUGAAGAGAAGCAGGAAAAGGAGAUAAAGAAGCAAAAAGAGCGUGCAGAACAGUUGAUGACUGCAGGAGAUAUGGAUUGUUCUGAGAAGCAACUGGAGCCAGUUGCAGUCUAAACCCUUGAAGAAAUUAGAGAUAUGGUUUUACUUUUUUUAGAGUCUCUUUUGCUUACUUUUUGGAUGUAAUUGCAGUACUUUCUUAGUGCUGGUUUCUUUAACAUCAGUAACACUAACACUUACCAGUUCUGAAAAGAGAACUUGUUGGUGAGCUUGUAUAGCCUUACAAGAUAACAAUGGCUUUGUUUCUCUUCAAAUAUAUGAAUUCCAAUUUCUCCUUCUUGUACUUUGCAAGACAACUUGGAUAGGUGUCAGUUAUACAUCAUUGCUAAUGCUGGUUUCUUCAAAAGUGAUGACUGUCUCAAAUUUUUCUUUACUGCUUCUUCCUUUUAUUUUUGUGUGCUUUUGUUUUGAUAAGUAGUCAAUCAUUUGUGAUGCCACCAUGCGAUGCUUAUAUGAUUGUUGAUCUGGUACUUCUGAGAAAGUAGUGUUGUUGUUUCACAUCUCCAAGUUUAGCUAUAUCUUAUAUUUAAAGGACGCUGUUCAUCCAUUCUUCAAUCUGAUAUCCAACUGCAAAAAAAGACAAGAGGAGCUUGAAGAGAGGAGAUCAAGAAUCUAGUUAAUGAAGUAAAGAGAUUAAAAGCAACAUGUGAUGAGCUUCUUUAAGAGGAAGCUUUGUUGGUAGCAGAAAAGGAAGGACAAAGACAUUGAACGGAUUUGGCUCAAAAUUUGGAGGAGGAAGAGAUUAGACAAGGUCUUCAUAGGUAGAAACCUUUCCUUUUCAGUUAAAUAUUUUGGUUUAAUCUUUUCGUGAGAAUUAUUUGUAGCUUUACCAAUCCUUGUCCAUAUAUGGAAAAAAAAUUCUUUAGAAGUUGAUCCACUCAAAUGGUACGAUAUUCCUCCCCAUGAUGUAAAAAGGUUAGUUUUCAAUAUUAUUCUCUUCUUGUUGUAUAAAGAUUCUUUAGUUAUGCUUGGUCUCUUAAAGUAGGUUACCCCGUUUCUUUAGAAAAGAGUGAUUUAGGUUAUGUUAUGUGUAAUUCUUGCAGAAGCUAUUCUAGUGUGAAAAUGUGGAACAUUUUAGUUACAGGGAGCUCUAUUGAGCACAUAAGUUUUGUAAUUUUUCUUUCUUUUUCUUUUUUCUUCUUGGUAGGGAUUAUGCUUCUUCUGAGCUAUUUCAUUUAUCAGUUUAUGUUGGUCAAACAGAGAAAAAGAAGUUUGGAGCAUUUUUCUGGUUGCUUGUUAAUCUUUUGUACUUAAUAUCUCUUUCUUUCGUACUUACAAAUUUAUGUUUAUGUCUGUUGUUUUAGUUUCUUUCUAUCGUUUUCGUUCUGGACUGAGGCAUAGUUGAUUGAUGGCUUGAUUAUAUAUUGUGUUAGUGAUGGUGAGAGUGAUUAUACUUCAUUAAGAUUUCUUGUUUGUCAUACCUUUGUUGUUGACUGAAUUUGGUGUGAUGCUCUGUAUGUCUUUCAGGUUAUUUGCUCAUUGUGUAAUACUGAACAGGAUCUUCAACAAACAUGCAUUCAGUGUGGGGUUUGCAGGGGAAUUACUUUUGCUCAAAAUGCAACUUCUUUGAUGAUGAUGUUGCGAAGAAUCAAUACCACUGUGAUAAAUGUGGAAUCUGCAGCUUAAAAUAUUUGAAAACAGAACGGAUGGCAAGGAAAAUUUCUUUCAAUGUGACAGUCGUGAUGAGUGAGAUGCUUAACCUUGACUUUAAACUUAUUUAGCAAGAAAAGAUCUUAUUAGGUUUAUUAUGUAUGAUUAGCCAUGGAAGAUCUGACCUUUACCUCCCUUUUUUUUUCAAUGCAAAGAGUAUGAAUAAUUUCUUUUUCAGGAUGCUGCUAUUGACAUUGUAUUUGAAUAAUUCCUCUACACUGACAAGUAGAGGCGGAUUUUGAAUUUGAACUUGACGGUUCAUACUUUAAGUUCUUACUGUUGAAUUCAUUGUACUUUUGAAAAACUCUGGGUCAGUUGAAUCCAUUGAACCAGAUUUCAUCCGCCUUUGCUGACAAGCUUUAUUUACUUUUCUAAUUCUAGGUUGCCUUGACACCUAUGCCUGAAAUGUAUUAGAUAAAGAUGGUAAGGUUUGGAUUCUUUGCAUUAACUGUGCAGAAACAUCUGAGGUUAGCUUCCAUAUAAUGGGAUGGCACAUAAAUGCCUCAGCUGCAGUCCUAUAAUAACUGCAGAUAAGAGGCACCAGUUCAUGCACUAAUAUUACCGAAAUGGUCAGAUGAGGUUCUUAAUUGAGACUUAAGACAAGAAACGUUGCCCGAACCAUGUUGUAUAUUUGAGCAAGGUUGACCUCCUUUGCUUCUCUCAUGGUACACUCCUCUACCCGCCGAGCCCCUUCUGCUUCAAAUUACUCUUGGCAAGCAUCGAAUGAUGAAUUUAACGCCUAGGACUGCAACAUUUCUCUAUGAUUAUACCUUAAUUUUUUUCCAACUAGUUUUCUCUAAGAAGCAUUGAGGAGCAAGUUACUAGUCAUUACUUGUAAACAGGGAGAUGUUGAAACAGUCUUCACUUAUUUUUUUCAAGUAAACUUUCUGUAUUACUCCAUGCGAUGGAAUUUCUCAGUUUUAUC